GAAACGACUGCUAAGACUGGAUAGGAAGAUAAAAGGCAUCUUGUAUCUUUUAAAAGACCUAGUUAAUAGGUAUGCUUUAGGAGGGGCUUGCGCCAUAUUAGUUAGUUGGUAGGGUAAUGGCCUACCAAGACGAUGAUGUGUAGCUGGACUGAGAGGUUGAACAGCCACAUUGGGACUGAGACACGGCCCAAACUCCUACGGGAGGCAGCAGUAGGGAAUUUUCGGCAAUGGAGGAAACUCUGACCGAGCAACGCCGCGUGAAUGACGAAGUACUUCGGUAUGUAAAGUUCUUUUAUCGAGGAAGAAAAGCAAAUGGCGAACCAUUUGUUUGCCGGUACUUGAUGAAUAAGCCCCGGCUAAUUAUGUGCCAGCAGCCGCGGUAAGACAUAAGGGGCAAGUGUUAUCCGGAAUUAUUGGGCGUAAAGGGUGCGUAGGCGGUCUAGUAAGUCAGUGGUGUAAUGGCAACGCUUAACGUUGUCCGGCUAUUGAAACUGCUAAACUUGAGUUAGAUAGAGGCGAGUGGAAUUCCAUGUGUAGCGGUAAAAUGCGUAAAUAUAUGGAGGAACACCAGAGGCGUAGGCGGCUCGCUGGGUCUUAACUGACGCUGAGGCACGAAAGCGUGGGGAGCAAACAGGAUUAGAUACCCUGGUAGUCCACGCCGUAAACGAUGAGUACUAAGUGUCGGGUUAAACCGGUACUGAAGUUAACACAUUAAGUACUCCGCCUGAGUGGUACGUACGCAAGUAUGAAACUUAAAGGAAUUGACGGGACUCCGCACAAGCGGUGGAUCAUGUUGUUUAAUUCGAAGAUACCCGAAAAACCUUACCAGGUCUUGACAUGUUUUUGCAAAAUGAUAGUAAUAUCGUGGAGGUUACCAGAAACACAGGUGGUGCAUGGUUGUCGUCAGCUCGUGUCGUGAGAUGUUAGGUUAAGUCCUAAAACGAGCGAAACCCUUAUCGUUAGUUGCCAGCACGUUAUGGUGGGGACUUUAACGAGACUGCCAAUGAUAAAUUGGAGGAAGGUGAGGAUCACGUCAAAUCAGCAUGCCCCUUAUGACCUGGGCUACAAACGUGAUACAAUGGCUGUUACAAAGGGUAGCUGAAACGCAAGUUCUUGGCCAAUCCCCAAAAACAGUCCCAGUCCGGAUUGAAGUCUGCAACUCGACUUCAUGAAGUUGGAAUCGCUAGUAAUCGCGAAUCAGCAUGUCGCGGUGAAUACGUUCUCGGGGUUUGUACACACCGCCCGUCA
rnacentral:rRNA from 1 species